CGGACGGGUGAGUAAUGUAUGGGGAUCUGCCUGAUGGCGGGGGAUAACUACUGGAAACGGUAGCUAAUACCGCAUAAUGUCUGCGGACCAAAGCGGGGGGACCUCCGGGCCUCGCGCCAUCAGAUGAACCCACAUGGGAUUAGCUUGUAGGUAAGGUAACGGCUUACCUAGGCGACGAUCCCUAGCUGGUCUGAGAGGAUGACCAGCCACACUGGAACUGAGACACGGUCCAG
rnacentral:rRNA from 1 species